GGGUGAGGAGGUAGAAGGUGUACCGACGGAUGAACCUCACCUCCACCUCUAUGGUAGAGAACUCGCUCUCUCCUCCUCCGUCCUCCUCCUGGCGGUGCAUGGUGAUGUCGCCUGGGGAAGGAAGAGCGGUUUCAGAAUCACAGAGAGGGUGAGGUUGACGACAGUGCCGGGGUUCAUGCCACACACCUCCGCGCCCAGCGUCCAGGGCCGCGUCCCGAAGGGGUACAUGCCGUCCUUCCCCGGCGUCCACCAGGCUGACACCUCGCCAGCCUCGGGAGGGGAACACAGCGGGUUUGUUAUGAGACCUACCUUGAGAGACUGGAGGAACCAGGAGCUGUUUUGCCAGAAGAUGUCAGAGUGGUAGAACCCAGCGAGGGAGGGGCGGCUGGUGCCACGUUCGUCCACCAACACGUACUGAUAGUUGAAGGAGGGACCUGCCUGAGGCAGAUUUCCUGUGAUGCUUAAAAACUCGAGUAUACAGAAAAUAGAAACUAUUCGGCUGUAAUACGGAGGAUAAAGAGACUGACCGAUGACAAAGGCGCCCCCAGUCUGCAAGGAGGACGUGUGCGCAGGGAAGGUCCCCUCAUCUCGCCGUUCACCGUUCAGGUAGAUGGUCCAGGAGGCGUUCUCCAUUUGGUAGGAGAAGCAGAAAUGGGUCCAGGAACGUAGGGGUGUGACGAGUUUCGUGGCCGCCCAGUACUCCUGGAUCGACACCUUGUACUCUUCCUCACGAUGGUCUGAGGACAGGAAACAAACCAGGGGCAUCUGCCCAGUAAUGUAUCAAUGUGUAUAAGUAAUGUUCUAUAAUAAUAUAGUACUGUUGUAUAAUAGUGACGCGUCUACAUAUACAUUCCAGAUACAUUAUUAUUAUUAUUAUAUACACUGAUUAUAUCCAUUAAAUACCCCCUUAAAUCUUCUAGUACCGUUAUAUAAAUCUGGCGACGAAUUCUAUUCAAAUAUUGUUGUAUUCUCUGUCAUUUAGUAUAUUAACCUAAGAAAGGCAUUGCAUUAGUUUAGCCAUUCACUACUGUAUUAUAAUGUGAUAUAUUAUUUUGCAGUAGUUACAUCUGCAGCCUAAUCAAAUCAUCCAUUUUUGAACGUUAGAUUUUUAAAGUAGCCUAAGCAAUUCUGCUUUUGAUAAAUCACUUAAGCAAAUAAAUUAGGAUAUCUGUCAAUCACUGCCUGAAUACUGUCAGAAAUCUUCGUAAAACACCCAGAUACAACUGCACUUCAAUGGAAUGCUUCAUAUAAUCUGCAAGCAAUGAUAAUUUCACGGAGACAAUUUCUCACUUAUCCUCUAUACAUGCAUUGGUUCCAGAAAGACCCUACAUCUGUCUUAUUAACGCAUAUUAUAGCAGGAUCCCACAAUUAUCCUCUGUUCACAGACUAUCCAUGAGUACCCCGCAACCUAUCCUCGUAGGUUACUUACAAACAAUUUCCUGUAGGAAUUUACAUCUAUAUACACAAGGAUUCAAAAGUGUACUCUUCAAUGAACAAGUUACUAUAGUACCCCUCGCCUGCAUUAUAAAUAUAAAAUAGCUUCAGUAAAAACACCUCUCACCUAUCCUAAAUUCAUUAUCCCGGUCAAUAGAAAAA